UUCAAAUUAUUAGUGUAUCGAAUAUACUACUACAACGAAUAUUUAAAUACUAUACUCAUAUAAUAUAAUUUAGUUUAAAAAAAUGAAGACGUUUAAUAUCAAAACCGAAUUGUCUACACGAUUCAUUGUAGAAGCAUCCAAACCAUAGGAUGGGUCUCUUCGGAGACAGGAUAUCGUUUUCUUUUUUUAUAAUUGUAUUUAUAUAAGCAUGUGUUUCCUCGAUAGGCGAUUACAGUCCAAUGAAGGAACAAGCGCCCCCUGAAUCCACCACUGAAAAAACUCGAAUUUAAUCUAGUUGAAGACAUUGACCUAGUUUAAAAGAGACCACCUACGCAUAUCAAAUUAUUACUAAUUAUUGUUACGUUAAUUUUGAAUCAUCUAUUUUGAUACAUCAAUAUUGCGUAAAUUAUUAAAUUUAUUGAUUAUUAAGACUAGCAUUAGAGGAUAAUCCUUGUUAGGAUAUUUGAUAAUAAAUGCACUUAUUUAUUAUUA